rnacentral:rRNA from 1 species
UACAGAGGGUGCGAGCGUUGUUCGGAAUUAUUGGGCGUAAAGGGCGCGUAGGCGGUGCGGUAAGUCACCUGUGAAAUCUCCUGGCUCAACUGGGAGCUUGCAGGCGAAACUGCCGUGCUCGAGUGUGGGAGAGGUGAGUGGAAUUCCCGGUGUAGCGGUGAAAUGCGUAGAGAUCGGGAGGAACACCAGAGGCGAAGGCGGCGACCUGGACGAGCACUGACACUCAACUACGAAAGCAUGGGGAGCAAACAGG